GCGGCCUAUCAGCUUGUUGGUGAGGUAAUGGCUCACCAAGGCGACGACGGGUAGCCGGCCUGAGAGGGCGACCGGCCACACUGGGACUGAGACACGGCCCAGACUCCUACGGGAGGCAGCAGUGGGGAAUAUUGGGCAAUGGAGGAAACUCUGACCCAGCGACGCCGCGUGAGGGAUGAAGGCCUUCGGGUUGUAAACCUCUUUCAGUAGGGAAGAAGCGAAAGUGACGGUACCUACAGAAGAAGCACCGGCUAACUAUGUGCCAGCAGCCGCGGUAAUACAUAGGGUGCAAGCGUUGUCCGGAAUUACUGGGCGUAAAGAGCUCGUAGGUGGUUCGAUACGUCGGAUGUGAAAAUCAGGGGCUCAACCCCUGACCUGCAUCCGAUACGGUCGAGCUGGAGUUUGGUAGGGGAGACUGGAAUUCCU
rnacentral:rRNA from 1 species